UCGUACUAGGUCUGUGGAGGCUAUAAAAGACAUGUGCCAACUAACUACACAAAAGGGAGAGUAAAAUAAAUGCUAAAGAGAGAUUUAAGUAAAACCCUCUGGGAAAGUAGACAAAGGAGUGGUUAACCCUGGGACAGGGCGCUGCUUCAUGGAAGAGGAACCAUUUGAAUGAAGACCUAGAGAAGUGAGAAUGAGAGCAGGGCUUUCUCAACAGAAGGAGGAGCAAGGUAUAGUGAUACCACAGCAUAUGCAGCAAUGGGAAAGGUAAAGGUUCUGUGCAAACAGAAGCACUUCAAAAUUACCCUAGCAGAGGGGAAAACUGAAGCAUUCUACAACCAGAGCAUUUCCCAGAAAGUACAUAGAGAGACACGGAAUUGCUUUGGAGAGAGAGAAAGUGUUUUUUACGAGUUCCCAAAAGACUGAGCUAUCUGAGAGACGGCCCUGUUGGUUCAGCCCUGGCUUAACUCUACGUUUACUCUGAAGUCCUGCGGCAUCCUUGUCUAUCUCUUCAAUAUUACAUUGGUGUGCUUCAUAGAAGUCAACAAGAUCAGAAGGACUGUUGGUUAGAAGAUAAAACACUGGCUCUAUGAUGGCUAUUCAAAGUUGUCAAACAACCCAUAGCUAGGAAUUGUUUCCAUAUUGUGGAAAAAUCUUAUUCUCUCAGAAGACAAUGCUGCAGGGAAAAAUGCCUACUCUUACAUCAAUGCAGCCCCAAGACCUUCAU